rnacentral:rRNA from 1 species
CAAUAGCGUAUAUUAAAGUUGUUGCGGUUAAAAAGCUCGUAGUUGGAUUUCUGCCGAGGACGACCGGUCCGCCCUCUGGGUGAGUAUCUGGCUCGGCCUGGGCAUCUUCUUGGAGAACGUAACUGCACUUGACUGUGUGGUGCGGUAUCCAGGACUUUUACUUUGAGGAAAUUAGAGUGUUUCAAGCAGGCACACGCCUUGAAUACAUUAGCAUGGAAUAAUAAUAUAGGACCUCGGUUCUAUUUUGUUGGUUUCUAGAGCUGAGGUAAUGAUUAAUAGGGAUAGUUGGGGGCAUUCGUAUUUAACUGACAGAGGUGAAAUUCUUGGAUUUGUUAAAGACGGACUACUGCGAAAGCAUUUGCCAAGGAUGUUUUCAUUGA